AUUGAACGCUGGCGGUAGGCCUAACACAUGCAAGUCGAACGCGAAAGUCCUUCGGGAUGAGUAGAGUGGCGGACGGGUGAGUAACGCGUAGGAAUCUAUCCUGUAGUGGGGGAUAACGUUUCGAAAGAAACGCUAAUACCGCAUACGCCCCAAGGGGGAAAGCGGGGGAUCUUCGGACCUCGUGCUUUAGGAGGAGCCUGCGUCGGAUUAGCUAGUUGGUGAGGUAAAGGCGAACCAAGGCGACGAUCCGUAGCUGGUCUGAGAGGAUGAUCAGCCACACCGGAACUGAGACACGGUCCGGACUCCUACGGGAGGCAGCAGUGGGGAAUAUUGCGCAAUGGGCGAAAGCCUGACGCAGCCAUACCGCGUGUGUGAAGAAGGCCUUCGGGUUGUAAAGCACUUUCAGUGGGGAGGAAAAGCUGGUGGCUAAUAUCCAUCGGCCGUGACGCUACCCACAGAAGAAGCACCGGCUAAUUCCGUGCCAGCCGCCGCGGUAACAC
rnacentral:rRNA from 1 species